CACGUAGGGCGCAAGCGUUGUCCGGAAUUAUUGGGCGUAAAGAGCUCGUAGGCGGUCUGUUGCGUCCGCUGUGAAAACUCGGGGCUUAACCCCGAGCCUGCAGUGGAUACGGGCAGGCUAGAGGUAGGUAGGGGAGAAUGGAAUUCCCGGUGUAGCGGUGAAAUGCGCAGAUAUCGGGAGGAACACCGGUGGCGAAGGCGGUUCUCUAGUACGGUACUGACGCUGAGACGCGAAAGCGUGGGGAGCGAACAGG
rnacentral:rRNA from 1 species